rnacentral:rRNA from 1 species
UACGAAGGGGGCUAGCGUUGCUCGGAAUCACUGGGCGUAAAGCGCACGUAGGCGGAUUUUUAAGUCAGGGGUGAAAUCCUGGAGCUCAACUCCAGAACUGCCUCUGAUACUGGGAAUCUUGAGUCCGGGAGAGGUGAGUGGAACUGCGAGUGUAGAGGUGAAAUUCGUAGAUAUUCGCAAGAACACCAGUGGCGAAGGCGGCUCACUGGACUGGUAUUGACGCUGAGGUGCGAAAGCGUGGGGAGCGAACAGG